rnacentral:rRNA from 1 species
GUGCCAGCCGCCGCGGUAAUACGGAGGGUGCAAACGUUGCUCGGAAUUAUUGGGCGUAAAGCGCGCGUAGGCGGCCGUAUAAGUCUGAUGUGAAAGCCCAGAGCUCAACUCUGGAAAGCCAUUGGAAACUGUACGGCUUGAGAACAGGAGGGGUAGGUGGAAUUCCUGGUGUAGGAGUGAAAUCCGUAGAGAUCAGGAGGAACACCGGUGGCGAAGGCGACCUACUGGACUGGAUCUGACGCUGAGGCGCGAAAGCGUGGGGAGCAAACAGGAUUAGAUACCCUGGUAGUCCACGCUGUAAACGAUGUUCACUAGCUGCUUGUUGCCUCAGUGCGACAGGUGGCGAAGCCAACGCAUUAAGUGAACCGCCUGGGGAGUACGGCCGCAAGGUUAAAACUUAAAGGAAUUGACGGGG